UCAUGAGGUUCCUCCUUGCCUGUUUCUCCAGCCUGUAGAGGUCCCUCUGAAUGGCAGCACAACCCUCUGAUGUAUAACCUCCUGGUCUUCACAGGCAGCAAUUUAAGUAACACACAAUCUCAGCUGAAGCCAGGAAGACCAAAAAACAGAUAUUUGUCAGCUACAACCUUCAAAACACAGACAGCAGUUUCAGCUUACUCAUAGAAAACAGGAUCAAAGAAGAAAUGAUGGCUUUUCCAGAGAAGUUCUGACUUUGCAUCAUUGUAAACUAACUUGAGGUUUUUGUUUUAGAAAAACUGAGUGCAGUUUGCACACUGACAUUAAGUUACUAUUCUGAAAACUUGUUUUGUAUUGUUUUGAUUGAAUUUGUAUUUGUUAUUAAAUACAGCAAUGUUGUA